rnacentral:rRNA from 1 species
AUUGAACGCUGGCGGCAGGCCUAACACAUGCAAGUCGAGCGAGUGGCGGACGGGUGAGUAAUGUCUGGGAAACUGCCUGAUGGAGGGGGAUAACUACUGGAAACGGUAGCUAAUCCCGCAUACCAUCGGAUGUGCCCAGAUGGGAUUAGCUUGUUGGUGGGGUAACGGCUCACCAAGGCGACGAUCCCUAGCUGGUCUGAGAGGAUGAGCAGCCACACUGGAACUGAGACACGGCCCAGACUCCUACGGGAGGCAGCAGUGGGGAAUAUUGGACAAUGGGCGAAAGCCUGAUGCAGCCAUGCCGCGUGGAUGAAGAAGGCCCUAGGGUUGUAAAGUACUUUCAGUCGGGAGGCGUUACCGACAGAAGAAGCACCGGCUAACUCCGUGCCAGCAGCCGCGGUAAUUC